rnacentral:rRNA from 1 species
UAGUCCACGCUGUAAACGAUGAUUACUCGCUGUUGGCGAUACACUGUCAGCGGCUAAGCGAAAGUGAUGAGUAAUCCACCUGGGGAGUACGUUCGCAAGAAUGAAACUCAAAGGAAUUGACGGGGGCCCGCACAAGCGGUGGAGCAUGUGGUUUAAUUCGAUGAUACGCGAGGAACCUUACCAGGGCUUAAAUGUAGAGUGACCGAUUUGGAAACAAGUCUUCUCUUUGAGUAGUCUACAAGGUGCUGCAUGGUUGUCGUCAGCUCGUGCCGUGAGGUGUCGGGUUAAGUCCCUUAACGAGCGCAACCCCUAUCUCUAGUUGCCAGCGGAUAAUGCCGGGGACUCUAGAGAAACUGCCCGUGCAAACGGUGAGGAAGGUGGGGAUGACGUCAAAUCAUCACGGCCCUUACGUCCUGGGCUACACACGUGCUACAAUGGCCGGUACAGAGGGCAGCUACCACGUGAGUGGAUGCAAAUCUCGAAAGCCGGUCUCAGUUCGGAUUG